UACGUAGGCAGCGAGCGUUGUUCGGAGUUACUGGGCGUAAAGGGUGUGUAGGCGGUUCUUUAAGUUUGGUGUGAAAUCUCCCGGCUCAACCGGGAGGGUGCGCCGAAUACUGAGGGACUAGAGUACGGGAGAGGAAAGUGGAAUUCCUGGUGUAGCGGUGAAAUGCGUAGAUAUCAGGAGGAACACCGGUGGUGUAGACGGCUUUCUGGACCGUAACUGACGCUGAAACACGAAAGCGUGGGUAGCAAACAGG
rnacentral:rRNA from 1 species